rnacentral:lncRNA from 1 species
AGACCUCCCCACGCAUAUGUAGCAGAUGUGCAGCUUGAUCUUCAUGUGGGUCCCAAACAACUGGAGUGGGGGCUAGCCCAGAAGCUGUCACCCAUCUGUGGGAUAUGUUCUCCAGCUGGGCUGCCUGGGCUGCCUCAGUGGGGGAGGAUGAGCCUAACCCCCAGAGACUUGAUGAGCCAGGAUGUGGGGAUAUCAGGGGCCCCCGCCCUCUCUGAGGAGCAGGGGAAGGGGAGACUGGGAGGGGGCAGUGAACAGGAUGUAACGUUAGUAAACAAAAUAAUAAAAAGGACAUUUUAUCAUAUGUAAAUAAUGAUAAGAUAUGACAAGGAAGCAUCCUAUUUUGUUAAUAAAGGUGCAUCAAUAAAAUGUCAAUUAAAAGUGUAUGGUACUAAAACUUUAGAGACAUUGGGAUUCCUAUAAAAGAUAAAGGCCUUUCCAAUAGACUAAGAGCAUUGUGUUUUUCUCACUGUUUUCUCUGUAUGUAGCAUAAAUUGCAAUAGUUCAAUAACCCCUCUUUAAAAUAUAUGUUCAAUUUUUCUUAAAAAAAAAAAAA